rnacentral:rRNA from 1 species
UCGAACGGGGAUAUAUUGGAAUGAGGAUUCGUCUGAAGGAAAAUGUAUCUUAGUGGCGGACGGGUGAGUAACGCGUGGGCAACCUACCGUAUACAGGGGGAUAACACUUAGAAAUAGGUGCUAAUACCGCAUAAGCGCACAGCAGUGCAUACUGGAGUGUGAAAAGCCGAGACGGUAUACGAUGGGCCCGCGUCUGAUUAGCCAGUUGGCAGGGUAACGGCCUACCAAAGCGACGAUCAGUAGCCGGCCUGAGAGGGCGGACGGCCACAUUGGGACUGAGACACGGCCCAGACUCCUACGGGAGGCAGCAGUGGGGGAUAUUGCACAAUGGGGGGAACCCUGAUGCAGCGACGCCGCGUGAGUGAAGAAGUAAUUCGUUAUGUAAAGCUCUAUCAGCAGGGAAGAAUAAAUGACGGUACCUGAGUAAGAAGCCCCGGCUAACUACGUGCCAGCAGCCGCGGUAAUACGUAGGGGGCAAGCGUUAUCCGGAUUUACUGGGUGUAAAGGGAGCGUAGACGGCGAUGCAAGCCAGAUGUGAAAGCCCGCAGCUCAACUGCGGGAGUGCAUUUGGAACUGUAUGGCUGGAGUGCAGGAGAGGCAGGCGGAAUUCCUAGUGUAGCGGUGAAA